AUCUAUGGCCAUACCACCAUGAACGCAUCUGAUCUCAUCUGAUCUGGGAGGCUAAGCAGGGUCAGGGCUGGUUAGUACUUAGAUGAUAAACUGACUACUUAGGUUUUUAAAGACA
ensembl:rRNA 5S_rRNA 5S ribosomal RNA